rnacentral:rRNA from 1 species
UCAUCCCUGUGCACGUACCUAAAACGUUGCCUCGGCGGGAACAGACGGCCCCGUAACACGGGCCGCCCCCGCCAGAGGACCCCCUAACUCUGUUUCUAUAAUGUUUCUUCUGAGUAAACAAGCAAAUAAAUUAAAACUUUCAACAACGGAUCUCUUGGCUCUGGCAUCGAUGAAGAACGCAGCGAAAUGCGAUAAGUAAUGUGAAUUGCAGAAUUCAGUGAAUCAUCGAAUCUUUGAACGCACAUUGCGCCCGCCAGUAUUCUGGCGGGCAUGCCUGUUCGAGCGUCAUUACAACCCUCAGGCCCCCGGGCCUGGCGUUGGGGAUCGGCGGAAGCCCCCUGCGGGCACAACGCCGUCCCCCAAAUACAGUGGCGGUCCCGCCGCAGCUUCCAUUGCGUAGUAGCUAACACCUCGCAACUGGAGAGCGGCGCGGCCACGCCGUAAAACACCCAACUUCUGAAUGUUGACCUCGAAUCAGGUAGGAAUACCCGCUGAACUUAAGCAUAUCAAUAGCAUGGAGGAACAGUACCGAGUUGAACAACUCAUCA